AACAUCGCGCACCUGCGGGAACCUGCGGAGGGAUCAUUACCGAGUGCGGGCCCUCUGGGGUCCAACCUCCCACCCGUGUUUAUCGUACCUUGUUGCUUCGGCGGGCCCGCCGUCCUGGCCGCCGGGGGGCGUCAUGCCCCCGGGCCCGCGCCCGCCGAAGACCACACCGAACGCUGCCUGAAGGUUGCCGUCUGAGCGAGUACACAAAUCAGUCAAAACUUUUAACAACGGAUCUCAGAU
rnacentral:misc_RNA from 1 species